rnacentral:rRNA from 1 species
CGCAUAAAGUGCCCCGCCUGGGGAGUACGCCGCAAGGCUAAAAACUCAAAGGAAAUGACGGGGGCCCGCACAAGCGCGGAGCAUCGGAUUAAUUCGAUGCAACGCGAAGAACCUUACCAAGGCUUGACAUGAACUGGAAACACCUGGAAACAGGUGCCCCGCUUGCGGUCGGUUUACAGGUGGUGCAUGGUUGUCGUCAGCUCGUGUCGUGAGAUGUUGGGUUAAGUCCCGCAACGAGCGCAACCCUCGUUCUAUGUUGCCAGCACGUAAUGGUGGGGACUCAUAGGAGACUGCCGGGGUCAACUCGGAGGAAGGUGAGGACGACGUCAAAUCAUCAUGCCCCUUAUGUCUUGGGCUUCACGCAUGCUACAAUGGCCGGUACAAUGGGUUGCGAUACUGUGAGGUGGAGCUAAUCCCAAAAAGCCGGUCUCAGUUCGGAUUGGGGUCUGCAACUCGACCCCAUGAAGUCGGAGUCGCUAGUAAUCGCAGAUCAGCAACGCUGCGGUGAAUACGUUCCCGGGCCUUGUACACACCGCCCGUCAAGUCACGAAAGUUGGUAACACCCGAAGCCCAUGGCCCAACCCGUAAGGGAGGGAGUGUCGAAGGUGGGACUGGCGAUUGGGACUACGUCGUAACAAGUAGCCGUACCGGAAGGUGCGGCUGGAUCACCU